rnacentral:miRNA from 1 species
AGAUGCAAGAGAAUUUUCAGU